UACGUAGGGGGCAAGCGUUUGUCCGGAUUUAUUGGGCGUAAAGAGCGUGUAGGCGGCCAGACAGGUCAGCUGUGAAACUCGAGGCUCAACCUCGAGACGUCGGUUGAAACCGUCUGGCUAGAGUCCGGAAGAGGAGAGUGGAAUUCCCGGUGUAGCGGUGAAAUGCGCAGAUAUCGGGAAGAACACCCGUGGCGAAGGCGGCUCUCUGGGACGGUACUGACGCUGAGACGCGAAAGCGUGGGGAGCGAACAGG
rnacentral:rRNA from 1 species